ensembl:lncRNA
ACUUGCAUGUCAUCAUAGACUUCAUACUGGAGAGAAACCUUACAAAUGUGAAGAAUGUGACAAAGUUUUCAAUAUCAAAUCACACCUUGAAAUACAUAGGAGAGUUCAUACUGGAGAGAAACCAUACAAAUGUAGGGUUUGUGACAAGGCUUUUGGGCGUGAUUCAUACCUUGCACAACAUCAGAGAGUUCAUACUGGAGAGAAACCUUACAAAUGUAAGGUUUGUGACAAGGCUUUCAAGUGUUACUCACACCUGGCACAACAUACUAGAAUUCAUACCGGAGAGAAACCUUACAAGUGUAGUGAGUGUGGCAAAGCCUUUCGUGUGCAGUCAACACUUAUUCACCAUCAGGCAAUCCAUGGUGUAGGGAAACUUGACUAACGUAAUGAUUGUCACCAAGUCUUCAGUAACGCCACAACCAUUGCAAAUCAUUGAAGAAUCCAUAAUGAAUAGAGAUCUUACAAGUGUAGUAAAUGUGACAAAUUUUUCAGACAUCAUUCAUACACUGUAGUUCAUGGGUGAACUCAUACUGGAGAGAAACCUUACAAAUGUCAUGAUUGAGGCAAGGUCUUCAGUCAAGCUUCAUCCUAUGCAAAACAGGAGAAUUCAUACAGGAGAGAAACCUCACAAGUGUGAUGAUUGUGGCAAAGCCUUCCUUCACAUUCACACCUCAUUAGACAUCAGAGAAUCCAUACUGGACAGAAAUCUUACAAAUGUCAUCAGUGUGGCAAGGUCUUCAGUCCAAGGUCACUCCUUGCAGAAUAUCAGAAAAUUCAUUUUUGAGAUAAUAGUUCCAAAUGCAAUGAGUAUAGCAAACCAUCAAGCAUUAAUUGACACUAGAGUCAGUUCAGCAUUGACUUGAGUUUGAGUUGACUUAACAUUGAGUUCAAGCAUUAAUCGACAUUAAAGUGUUUAUGUUAAGAAGAUUAGGCUGAGUGAGGUGGCUCACACCUGUAAUGCCAGCACUUUGGGAGGCCAAGGUGGGUAGAUCUCUUGAGGUCAAGAGUUUGAGACUAGUGUGGCCAACAGGCAUGAGCCACUUUUCCCAGCCUGUUUUUUGUUUAACAAAAACAGGGAUUAUUUUUGUUGUUGUUGUUCUUGUGAGCAAUAAAGUGUUUUAAUCACCUGGGUGCAGGUGGGCUGAGUCCGAAAAGAGUCAGGGAAGGGAGAUAGGGGUGGGGCCAUUUUAUAAGAUUUGGGUAGGUAGUGGAAAAUUACAAAGGGGGUUGUUCUCUGGCUGGCAGGGGUGGGAGUCACAAGGUGCUCAGUAGGGGAGUUUUUGAGCCAGGAUGAGCCAGGAGAAGGAAUUUCACAAGGUAAUGUCAUCAGUUAAGGCAGGGACCGGCCAUUUUCACUUCUUUUGUGGUGGAAUAUCAACUGAUAGGCAUUUUUAUGGGAUUGUGUUGAAUCUAAAUCACACUGGGUUAUAUAAUUAUUUAACAAUAUUAAUUUUUCCAAACUAUCAAUAUGGGUUGUAUCUCUAUGUAUGUUUUUAAUCAUUUUGAUCAACGUUUGUAGAUUUCAAGGUACAUACUUCUCAGCUUUGUACGUUUAUUCCUAUUUCUUAGUUUAAGUUCUCUAGCAAAUGGAAGUGUUUUUUAAUUUUCUUUUAAAAUUGUUUAUUCUUAAUGUAUGGAAAUUCAAGAAAUUUUUGGUGCUGAUAUUAUAUUGUGCAAAUCCACUGAAUUUAUUUAGCAGUUCUGAGGGAAGAGAGAGACCCUCUCAUAUUGCUUUAUACUCAGUACCUGUAUUAAGAAAAAAAUAAGGAAGUGGAAUCAAAGACAGGCAGCCUGGCGCCAGGCCCAAAACCAGGCCUGAGCCUGCCUGGCCUAAACCCAGUAGUUAAAAAUCAACUCAUAACUUAGAAACCAAUGUUAUUCAUAGAUUCCAGACAUUGUAUAGAAGAACACUGUGAAACUCCCUGCUCUGUUCUGUUCCACUCUGACCACUGGUGCAUGCAGACCCUGUCAUGUACCCCUUGCUUGCUCAAAUCAAUCAUGACCCUUUCAUGUGAAAUCUUUAGUGUUGUGAGCCCGUAAAAAGGACAGAAAUUGUGCAUUUAGGGAGCUCAGAUUUUAAGGCAGUCGCUUGCUGAUGCUCCCAGCUGAAUAAAGCCCUUCCUUCUACAA